rnacentral:rRNA from 1 species
CAGCCGUAAACUAUGCGCGUUAGGUGUACUGGUGACCGACGAGUCACCGGGGUGCCGAAGGGAAACCGUGAAACGUGCCGCCUGGGAAGUACGGUCGCAAGGCUGAAACUUAAAGGAAUUGGCGGGGGAGCGACCACAACGGGUGGAGCCUGCGGUUUAAUUGGACUCAACGCCGGAAAUCUCACCGGAUAGGACAGACAUAUGAUAGUCGGGCUGAAGACUCUACUUGAUGAUCAGAGAGGUGGUGCAUGGCGUCAGUGACU